GAGGCUGCAUCCGCCCAGCGUCCACUCACGCCGGCGUGCGCUUUCCACCCUUUGCUCCCUCCUACUCCAAGGAGAGCAUCACAGCAGACUUUCCUUGUUAAAAUCAAACGUGAUUAACCACGGCUGUUUCCCCUUUGAGAUAAUGCCCACGCCCGGGGGGAGGUGCCCAACGUGGCUGGGGGAGUCACAGAGGGGGUUAGACGGUGACGGCGCUGGCGACGCUGGCCACAGCGGCCGGGAGGAAAUGCGGGCGAGUUAAAGAGGAAAACGAGGCUGGAGACGUUGGUUAGCGGCUUUUCAUCUUUCGGAUGCCUGAGAGCAGGCCGAGGGGAGAGGACUGUCAGAUCCAAGCCAAGAGAAAUUCUAACCCAUAGGUAGCAUGAGACUAGUGAUGAAGCCACAGAAAUCUGAGUACGGUCCCCACUGAAAAGGUCAGUCAUGAUUUCAGAGAGUUCAGGCAGCAAUGAAUACCUUGGCCCUAAUAAUCUAUUUCUGUGUAGAAAGGCCCCCUCACAUUCGCCUGGCCAUGUCUUGCUGGAGAUGGAGAAGUUAUUUCUCGCUGAAGUUCUUCCUUUUCCUCCCAGCAGUAAGGUGAAUAAAACUCAUUUUGUUCUAAGAAAGGAAAAAUAAUUCCAACGUAACAGAAUAAAGCCAAUAAUAUCAUAGAAAAUUAUACUAAAGAGAAAAAUUUGGAAUCAUAUAAGAAUAAAAAGCCAACAUUUUUCAAGUUAUCCAGAAAACAAGCCCAAUAUCUUAGUAAAAGAUGCUUGAAUAAAAUACAAACUUCACGGUAGAACUCAGGAAUGACUGAUCUGUCAAACUCAGAAGUGACUUUGGAUCAGAUAGUAACAAUGGAGUAAUAGGAAAACUGGGAUUUCCCAGGCUGGUUUCUGCUUUAAUAUCUUUUUUUUUUUUUUUUUUGCCAUGCCCUGCAGCAUGUGGGAUCUUAGUUCCCUGACCAGGGAUCGAACGCGUGCCCCCUGCAGUGGAAGCACGGAGCCUUAACCACUGGACCGCCAGGGAAGUCCCUGGUUUCUGCUUUACACGCCCCAAAGAACCUCAGUUAAGCCCUCACUCCUCAUUUCAACAGACUCUUGGGAGCUGACCCAAACAUGCUCAUCUUCAAGUCUCAAACACCAGUUGAUCGUUUUCAUCAUCAUAAAAUGAUCCCCUGGAGCAAAGGAAAACAACUUUGGUUUUGACAGUGCCUCUGGGAGAAACUCAAGACACUUUGACUAUGGACCCUCCCUGCAUUCUUUGGGGUCAAGCAGCCACCACAAGAAGCAAAACAGCAUGAGAAAAGGCUGAGUCAGACAACAUGUAGCAACAAGCCCAGGAACUUCUCCAGGGGCCCAGGAAGUUGGAAGCCUCCCAGUUAUGUCAUAGGACGUUGUCCUUUCUUGGAACUUUGAAGGUUUCUCGAGUGUCAGCAGCAAGGCCAUCCCACUCCCACCUGACUUCUCACAGGACAUGGUAUCUCUGAAAGGAUCAUAUCCACAGGGACAAUUACUGACUGAACAAACAUUCCUGAUGAUGUAAUGUGUGUCCUGAAAUCCUGACCAACAACUUGCUCAUGGUUGCUGUCCCCAUGAUUUUGGCUGAGGAUGCUAUUCGGAGGGAAAAGGUGGCUUCUACUGCGGAUGAUUUUUUUAACAAUUUUUUUAAUAGUAGGGAAAGAAUGCAAAAUAGGAAAGGGAUAAAGAAUAGGUUUAUUAUCUAGUUAAAGUUAACAAUGAAAAUUAGGUUAGUGAUUUCUUCUCAUCAGAGCACAGAGGUCAAGUCCUGUUAUAAAUAUCACAUCCACCUGAGAAUUAGAUUUCACAGUCAUACUCGGUACGUCACUCAUCUCACAUAACAGAACAACAUUUCAAUGGAGCAAAAGAAGAGACAACUAUCCGCAGAGCAUCAUAGCUUUCAGGUGCCUGUGGUGCCUCGCAGUAUCACCUGCUCUUCUCUGGGGGGUCACUUACUUUGACAUGUAUAAAUUAGAAAAGUGAUGAAAAAGACUGAAUGUGUAAAACGUUCCCAGACAAAUCCUUAAGGAUAAUUUAGAACAGUGUUGGGAAUUGGGAGCCCCAGAAUCCCCUGAGGAACUUCACUAAGAACUGCUGCAGACAUUUGCCGGCUAGCUUCAACCUGCUCUGACCUCAGGGAACCACUCAGUAUCAGCAAGACACACCGAUCGGAGUUGAUCUCAGGCUCCUGUGUUGGCCUAAGUCUGAUGAAAAGUCAGUUGGAGGUUCUCACAAAAUACAAAGCUCAAAUGUAACCGUCUACAUCCACCACAAAACAGAAUCAAG